GACAAGGCUUUUUCAAAUGCGAGCAAUUUAAAAAGGCACAUAAAAAAUGUCCAUGGAGAAGAGGCCUUGGCAACAGCAAAAACAAAGGAGUGCGGUGAAGGAAGGACUAUCGCGUGCGACUUGUGUCCAAAGUACUUUUUGAAGCUUCUAGAUCUUCGUCAGCACCAUGUUCGCGAACAUGGAUUUAAAGAAGAAGUACAGAACUUCACGUUUGACUCGUAUAAAGGUCUGCAGUCAUGGAGACUGGUGGACUGCUGCAAUCAACGACACCAGCUAUUACAACUAGAUCCUGACUGUUGUGAAGGUCCGUGACAUGGCAGAGAGGCUCGGCAUUCCCGUUCUGACAUGGAAUCAGCCGGAUUUUAGAUGUAUAAACGCCUCGUACUGUUCGCUCUGGACCAAAUAAAUGUCUUUUCUCUCUCAA